AGUGAACGCUGGCGGUAGGCCUAACACAUGCAAGUCGAACGGCAGCACAGUAAGAGCUUGCUCUUACGGGUGGCGAGUGGCGGACGGGUGAGGAAUACAUCGGAAUCUACUUUUUCGUGGGGGAUAACGUAGGGAAACUUACGCUAAUACCGCAUACGACCUACGGGUGAAAGCAGGGGAUCUUCGGGCCUUGCGCGAUUGAAUGAGCCGAUGUCGGAUUAGCUAGUUGGCGGGGUAAAGGCCCACCAAGGCGACGAUCCGUAGCUGGUCUGAGAGGAUGAUCAGCCACACUGGAACUGAGACACGGUCCAGACUCCUACGGGAGGCAGCAGUGGGGAAUAUUGGACAAUGGGCGCAAGCCUGAUCCGGCCAUACCGCGUGGGUGAAGAAGGCCUUCGGGUUGUAAAGCCCUUUUGUUGGGAAAGAAAAGCAGCAGGUUAAUACCCCGCUGUUCUGACGGUACCCAAAGAAUAAGCACCGGCUAACUUCGUG
rnacentral:rRNA from 1 species